GUGGGGAAUCUUAGACAAUGGGCGCAAGCCUGAUCUAGCCAUGCCGCGUGAGCGAUGAAGGCCUUAGGGUUGUAAAGCUCUUUCAGCUGGGAAGAUAAUGACGGUACCAGCAGAAGAAGCCCCGGCUAACUCCGUGCCAGCAGCCGCGGUAAUACGGAGGGGGCUAGCGUUGUUCGGAAUUACUGGGCGUAAAGCGCACGUAGGCGGAUCAGAAAGUCAGAGGUGAAAUCCCAGGGCUCAACCUUGGAACUGCCUUUGAAACUCCUGAUCUUGAGUUCGAGAGAGGUGAGUGGAAUUCCGAGUGUAGAGGUGAAAUUCGUAGAUAUUCGGAGGAACACCAGUGGCGAAGGCGGCUCACUGGCUCGAUACUGACGCUGAGGUGCGAAAGCGUGGGGAGCAAACAGGAUUAGAUACCCUAGUAGUCC
rnacentral:rRNA from 1 species